AUCCAGCUGACGAGUUCAAAAUAAGACGGAACGCGCAUUCUGCAU
rnacentral:hammerhead_ribozyme from 1 species